UUGGGAAGAGCCAUAGCUGAGUGGUAAAGCAUCUACUUUGCAUGCAGAAGGUCCCAGGUUCAAUCCCCAAGAUUCCCAAU